GGAUUUUCUGACAGUAUCAAAGGAGGAUUUAACUCUGAAAUGCUGCCAUGAAAAUCUCUCUCUCUCGCUCUCUCUAUAGUGUAGUCUUUCAAAAAGAAGCAUUAUGUGUCAGUAGAAGACAGUUACUGAGUGAAUAAGAAUGAACCCCUGGGGCUGGCCAGGUACUGCUGCUGAUAGGGGCAUAAAGAGUCACACUUUGCCCUUGGUUACACAGUUGUAAGCCUGGAGUUACUCUAUUAAGUCAAUGGAGUUAUUCUUGAUUUCCUCUGACUGACCGUCUGGAAGAACGUGAGUGGGAAAUUAUCCCUAUCUACUGGCAGAAAACAGAUGGAAUGAAAACAAACUGCAUGAAACUGAAUAAUUUCCAGUUGUCUCUGCAAAAUAACCUGCAAGGAACCUGGGACACUUGCGGAGGCUGACAGGCAUGGAAAGGUCAAAAUAAAGCAGGAGAGCUAUUUCAGCAUAUUCCUUCUGAACAAUUCCAUUUUAUGUGGUGGAUCUCUGGAAUCUCACUUUGCACACUGCAGUCCUCUGAAACAACUCAUGGCUUUUCAUUCCAUUCCACUGUGAAGACAGUUAAGUAUGUCUGAAUUUUCUCUAAGUGGAUUCACUUUAAGGAGAUGGUAACAUUAUUCCGGAUGAUU